rnacentral:rRNA from 1 species
AUGCAGUCGUACGUGAAAGCUUCCUUCGGGAAGUAAGUAAAGUGGCGCACGGGUGAGUAACACGUGGAUAAUCUGCCCAGUAAUCCGGGAUAACAUCUCGAAAGAGAUGCUAAUACCUGAUAAGCCCACGAUCUCUUCGGAGAACGCGGGAAAAGGUGGGGACCUUCGGGCCUGCCGUUACUGGAUGAGUCCGCGGCCCAUUAGCUAGUUGGUAGGGUAAUGGCCUACCAAGGCUACGAUGGGUAGCUGGUCUGAGAGGAUGAUCAGCCACACUGGAACUGAGACACGGUCCAGACUCCUACGGGAGGCAGCAGUGGGGAAUUUUGCGCAAUGGGCGGAAGCCUGACGCAGCAAUACCGCGUGAGUGAUGAAGGCUCUCGGGUCGUAAAGCUCUGUCAGAGGGGAAGAACCUCCUGUCGCCUAAUACGCGGCAGGCCUGACGGUACCCUCAGAGGAAGCACCGGCUAACUCCGUGCCAGCAGCCGCGGUAAUACG